rnacentral:rRNA from 1 species
ACUCCUACGGGAGGCAGCAGUGGGGAAUAUUGCACAAUGGGCGCAAGCCUGAUGCAGCCAUGCCGCGUGUGUGAAGAAGGCCUUCGGGUUGUAAAGCACUUUCAGUCGUGAGGAAGGUAGUGUAGUUAAUAGCUGCAUUAUUUGACGUUAGCGACAGAAGAAGCACCGGCUAACUCCGUGCCAGCAGCCGCGGUAAUACGGAGGGUGCGAGCGUUAAUCGGAAUUACUGGGCGUAAAGCGCAUGCAGGCGGCCUGUUAAGUCAGAUGUGAAAGCCCGGGGCUUAACCUCGGAAUUGCAUUUGAAACUGGCAGGCUAGAGUCUUGUAGAGGGGGGUAGAAUUUCAGGUGUAGCGGUGAAAUGCGUAGAGAUCUGAAGGAAUACCGGUGGCGAAGGCGGCCCCCUGGACAGAUACUGACACUCAGAUGCGAAAGCGUGGGGAGCAAACAGGAUUAGAUACCCUGGUAGGAUAGCG